CCUACGGGGGGCUGCAGUGGGGGAUAUUGCACAAUGGGGGGAACCCUGAUGCAGCGACGCCGCGUGAGCGAAGAAGUACCUCGGUAUGUAAAGCUCUAUCAGCAGGGAAGAAAAUGACGGUACCUGACUAAGAAGCCCCGGCUAAAUACGUGCCAGCAGCCGCGGUAAUACGUAGGGGGCAAGCGUUGUCCGGAUUUACUGGGUGUAAAGGGCGUGUAGCCGGGCUGACAAGUCAGAUGUGAAAUCCGGGGGCUCAACCCCCGAACUGCAUUUGAAACUGUUGGUCUUGAGUAUCGGAGAGGCAGGCGGAAUUCCUAGUGUAGCGGUGAAAUGCGUAGAUAUUAGGAGGAACACCAGUGGCGAAGGCGGCCUGCUGGACGACAACUGACGUUGAGGCUCGAAAGCGUGGGGAGCGAACAGGAUUAGAUACCCUGGUAGUC
rnacentral:rRNA from 1 species